CCUACGGGUGGCAGCAGUAGGGAAUCUUUCACAAUGGGCGAAAGCCUGAUGGAGCAACGCCGCGUGCAGGAUGAAGGCCUUCGGGUUGUAAACUGCUUUCAUAAGCGAGAAAUAUGAUGGUAACUUAUGAAUAAGCAUCGGCUAACUACGUGCCAGCAGCCGCGGUCAUACGUAGGAGCCGAGCAUUAUCCGGAGUGACUGGGUGUAAAGAGUUGCGUAGGUGGCAUAAUAAGUAGCUAGUGAAAUCUGGUGGCUCAACCAUUAAGACUAUUAGCUAAACUGUUAAGCUCGAGAACGUGAGGGGUAACUGGAAUUUCUAGUGUAGGAGUGAAAUCCGUAGAUAUUAGGAAGAACACCAAUAGCGUAGGCAGGUUACUGGGACGGUACUGACACUAAGGCACGAAAGCGUAGGGAGCAAACGGGAUUAGAUACCCUUGUAGUC
rnacentral:rRNA from 1 species